UUGUAUUCUUGACAGUUUUAGUCAUCUCUGCUGCAGCUAAGUGUUCAGUUGCAAUCUCUAGCCAAGUUCCCUUUGUUGUUGUGUUGAAUUUGAGGAAAGGCGGCCAAGCAGCUCGUGGCAGCUGUGUCGCGCCUGCUUCACCGCUGCCUUGACUUGCCGACGACGUCGCCGGUUGAGCCGCAGGGGUGCAAGAUCGUCGUGGGACCCAUUGCCAUGGGCGCCGAGUAUGCUUGAUUGCCAUGUCGGAGGCAAAGCUCCUAGAGCUUGGUGUGUGACAAGUCGUGUGAGAUGAAGGUGGUGAACCGUCUCAAUGUUAAGCCAAGUAUGUGGAGGAUAUGCCAUGGAUGAUGUGGACAGAGAUGAUGCAAAAAUUGCUUGCCGAUAGGCAGCUGGGCGCAUGCAUAAUUGUCGAGGAGGCCGAAGCCAACGCUAUUCUGGUUUGACUGAAUAACGUAUUCUGAGGCUCCCUUGUGGUGGAGAUCGACUAUGCAGAGGGGAAAGGAGCGAGGGGAA